AUACAGAGGGUGCGAGCGUUAAUCGGAAUUACUGGGCGUAAAGCGCGCGUAGGCGGCUUGGUCAGUCGGAUGUGAAAGCCCCGGGCUUAACCUGGGAAUUGCAUUCGAUACUGCUAGGCUGGAAUGUAGUAGAGGGUAGUGGAAUUCCGGGUGUAGCGGUGAAAUGCGUAGAUAUCCGGAGGAACAUCAGUGGCGAAGGCGACUACCUGGACUAACAUUGACGCUGAGGUGCGAAAGCGUGGGGAGCAAACAGGAUUAGAUACCCCAGUAGUCC
rnacentral:rRNA from 1 species